rnacentral:rRNA from 1 species
CAGCGGGGGGUAGCUUGCUACCUCGCCGGCGAGUGGCGGACGGGUGAGUAAUGCCUGGGGAGCUGCCCAAUCGAGGGGGAUACCAGUUGGAAACGACUGCUAAUACCGCAUACGCCCUGAGGGGGAAAGGUGGGGAUCUUCGGACCUACCGCGAUUGGAUGCGCCCAGGUGGGAUUAGCUAGUUGGUGAGGUAACGGCUCACCAAGGCGACGAUCUCUAGCUGGUCUGAGAGGAUGACCAGCCACACUGGAACUGAGACACGGUCCAGACUCCUACGGGAGGCAGCAGUGGGGAAUAUUGCACAAUGGGGGAAACCCUGAUGCAGCCAUGCCGCGUGUGUGAAGAAGGCCUUCGGGUUGUAAAGCACUUUCAGUCAGGAGGAAAGGUGGCUAGCUAAUACCUAGUUGCUGUGACGUUACUGACAGAAGAAGCGCCGGCUAACUCCGUGCCAGCAGCCGCGGUAAUACGGAGGGUGCAAGCGUUAAUCGGAAUUACUGGGCGUAAAGCGCACGCAGGCGGCUUGUUAAGUCAGAUGUGAAAGCCCCGGGCUCAACCUGGGAACUGCAUUUGAAACUGACAAGCUAGAGUCUUGUAGAGGGGGUAGAAUUCCAGGUGUACGGUGAAAUGC